ensembl:antisense Gm10390 predicted gene 10390
GCCUUGUCUCCCAGCAAUGCCACCACAGCACAGCUGCUUGUACUUGCACAGGCAAAGCUUAGGAAAAGAGUGACUCAGGAUGGAGAAGGGGACGUCGGCUCCUGAGGAAGACGCAGAACAACAGACACUAGUCACCUCGACCUCAGACAAGGGAGGCUGUUGACAUCUCUGAGACACAAAACCAGAAGUCAGAAAAGGGAGGCGCUCCCUCAGCCAUGUCGAGGAGGAGACGGCGCAUGCACUGGACAGCGAGUACAUCUCCCCCCGCAGUGCCACGGCUGUGAGUGUAACUCAAGGUCCUACUCGCUAUACACAGACUCAAGCCACAGCCACCUAAAGUCACCUUCGCAUGCCACCAUGCAACCACUCACUGGCUGGGGCCACCAAACCCUGGAGCCAGUCUCAAGCCUCACGUGUACCAGAGGCUCAGACACAAACACCGCCAGAGCUCAGCCCUCUCUGCAGAGGGGUGAGUCACACACUUCCCACAGUCCUUCACUGCCUUGGCGCCUACCUAUGCAGCGGUCCUGCUCUCCCUCUGCCUAGGGCUACAUCCCCGGAUGCUGGACACCAGGGUGCAGUGAUAGCCCAGCCAGGAUGGAGAUGACAAGUGAGAAAUUAAAGUGCAGAUUACGAUGUUUAUCAGCAUCACCAUAAAAGGGGAGAGAUGUGGAUGCGCCCAUCAGGACAGGGGAGCAACCACACAAAGCCUCUGUGAGAUGGGCCUCCUGGGGUGUGUGUCUUUGGGAACUCUGGGGUGCUGAGGGGGAGAACUAGCCCCAGGAGAGGCAGCACUUGCAGAACGCCCACAGCCUGAGGUCCCAACCCACAACGCUAAUGAUCAACCAAUGCAGGACCGCGAGGAGAAACGUCUCUGGAUAAGAUCGUGAGCAGGCUUGAGGGGACCUCUGGUCUGAGAGACACCGUGCCACCUCCUGACUGAGGCUAGGAAGAGGUAUCCAGAAGGUCCAACCCGCUACCAGAGAGCGACAACCACAGUGUGUCAGGGUCAGAGAGAAGUGACAACCCACACGGAACUAUGGCCUCCAAAUGACCCUCAGUGAGCAGAGACAUCACAGCCUGGGUGAGGAUCCGAACCCUACGUGUGCCAACCCUGGCACUUGGCUCCCCUUUGCUUGCUGCAAUAGACUCCUAUGUGCGUAUACCUGAAUAUACAGAAACCACAGAAAAUGGACUAUGGUCUCUAUACCUGUAGCUCAAGGUCACCCUCAGCUAACAGGAAGCCUGAGACUACCCCAAACUACACGAGAAUAGCAAACUAAACCAAAACAAUAAACAAUGAAUCUACACAGCACCUUGACCCACCACAGCCGUCUAGUGGGUCCUCACACUUGCUGGUGCCACUGCCCAGGCUGCAUCUGGGAUGUGACCCCGAUGCUUCUGGUUCUCAGAGUGGCAGGCACUCCUGAACAUCAAUCUGGAUAAGGGAGAGCUGUCCUAUACCUAAUGUCAAAGUUGUGCCCUCCCCCUCCCCACAGUGAGGCACCAGCCAAAGGGAACCACUGCUGUUUCCUCUCCCGACCACCAGGGGGCACUGAGACACCCGAGCUGCUACAGAGGGACCAGCAGACACCACUGAUGCUGGAGACAUGGUUCCCAAAGCCUCCUUCAAAUCCCAGUCAAUACACUCAAAGAUUCUAAAACCUUCGGCCAAGGAAUUAAAACUCGGCCACCUCUAGAGACACGACUGCAAGGGUCUACUCUUUAAAUGACACAUGACAUGCCUAUGAAAUCUACCUACAGGCAGAAUGAAGGACACCCAGCCAGUGGCCUAAUGACAGUCUCCCCCAGCCCGGCCCACCCUUCUCCCAGCGCUGCCCACAGCAUGGUGACCCCAGACUCUGCCCUUACCAGUCUCCUGUUCCACCUCGGCUUUCUCUGCAGGCUGCUCAUGCUGGGAAUCUUUCUUCUGGGGGGCUGCGCCGAAGACACCAAUUGGAGCCCACUCCAGGUACAGGGGGACAUGGUGGAACUGCAGAAACAGGGUGCCAAGGCUGUGGGUCCCCAUCUAAGACCUAGCUGGAGACUGAGUGCUGCCUGACAGAAGGGCCAGAGAUGACUGACAGAGCCAGGAGAAGCCAGCUGGGUACAGAGCCCUUCCUGCACUGGCAGGGCCCAGGGCCCUCUGUACAACCAGGUACCUGAGCAGAGCCCGCAGACACUAAUGUAAGACACAGGUCAUGACGCAUACAAGCCCCAGGCACACAGAAAUUCCUUGUACUGAGCGGAAUAGUGCCUCGCCAAGACACAGUCAAGUCUUGACCUUGAGCCCCAGCCUGUGACUGAGACCUUGGCAAUAGGAGGCAGAUCUUGGGGUGAGACUGUGCUAUCUGGCUGGGCUGUAAGUUUGAUACACGAGUCGGGAGGUUGGAAUGGGAUGGGUAGAGGUGAGUGGGUGAGACUGGGCUGCCAAUCAAGCUGUGAGAUCAGAAUCCGUCUCAUGCCACCAAGCUGGCAGCGGCCCCUUGUCACGACAGCCUGGGAAACUCAUAUCUGCUGUUUUCUUUUCUUUAACCAAAAGUCAGGAGACAGCCCCAGGUACAGCCGUAAUGCCCACCAUGGGGCAGCAGGCUCCAAGAGGGAAGGUGGGUUUGGGCAGAGCCUGUGUGAGCGAGGCCCAUGCUAGCCUGGGGGCAACUCUAACUCUUGGAGUCCCUCUGGUGCCCCACCAGGAUCAGCGGCCAUACCUUAGAAUAGGCCAGGUGCCUGAAAGCCUUGCGGGCCUCCAGCGGCUCUAGGAACUCUACGAUGGCCGUGAUGCCACCUUCAGGCAGAAGCACGCGACCCAGGCUGCCGAAGCGGCUGAAGGUCUCCUGGAUCUCAGCCGCCAGAGUACCUGCCGGGAGGUUCUUAGCCAGGAUCACAGUCUUACUUCGCUCCGCUGCAGCCUGGAGGGUGGAGGGGAUAGGGGGUGGGGGGAGAUGAAUGUGUGGAGGGACAACAGGAAGGUGACCUCAGCAUGGCUUCAGCACUGGCCACUGGUAUUGCCUCAGCAGAGAGGCCCCAUCCGGGCUCCUAGCAAAUAUGCUUGGACAGCCAAGCUGAGGUUGGGGGUUGUUGGGGGUUGUUCGCUCACUCCAUGCCCCAGACAGCUUUGCAGAGGAGCUGGAGCCCAAGACUCCAGGCCACACCUCUCCUGAUUUACCCCAAGCCACAUGGAAUCCAACAGUCCCCCAACCAUAACCCAGACUGGAGAUCCCAAGGUGGCCCAAUGGGCUUCCAAAGGACAAGAGCCACAUCUCAAUGCCCAGGCUCCUUCCUGGCAGCACAGACCUGUUCCCUCUGUGUGGAAGGCAGGAAGAGCUAUGGACUCUCAUCCCCAAGUGCACGCUGUCCUCUGUAGGGGACAGUCUGAGGGACCAGUGCUGAAGGCUUCAUCUUGGCUCGGGUUCCCCUCCCCCACAGGAUCCAUCUCUCCAGCCUCUCAGGAAAUUCUCCCCUGGCUCUGCUCGACUAUAGACUCACUGUGUGCUGUAAAGACUCACCUGGCUGAAAGAGUCCAGGCAGACCCCAUUGUCAAUAAGGAAGCUUCGGACCUCCUGGACCAGCUGGGUCUCCCCCAGAGCCACACGCACGGCCACGCUGCCCCUGGUCUCCUGUGGGAGGAAGGGAAGAGGCCCGGAUGCUGUCAGGAGGUGGCUCAGAGGGAAAUGCCUGUGUGCACACCCAUCGUUCUUCACACUCCUCUGGACAAAGUAAAUCUGGGAGCCCUUGGUCCCUUUCUAGCUUUGCCUUGCCCCACGGCUCAUGAUGCCCUCCCCUGGCUUUCCUUGGGGAGAUGGCCCUGCUGUUCUACUACAGCUCAUUGCCUGCAGGGUCUUCUGAUGCACCCACCUCAGCCUAAGCCAGCUCCUACCCCAGACUCUCCUGUCAUAUCUGUCACCUUGCUGAGCAGCUCUGAGGUGCUAUGACCACUCCUUUGUGUCUCUCUCCAGUAGAGGGCACCGAAGAGCAGUCCCCUUCUGUCCCCGGGCAUGGCUGACAUUUGAGCCACUGAAACUGUCCCCUUAAAUUAGGUUAUGCUGUGGCUGCUCAAAACAGUGGCCAGUGUCUCUAAAUGUGGUCCACUCCAUUCCAUCUCCCACCAAGGGUAAAACACACGCCAGCACCAGACAGUUAAGGAAAAAUAGAUCGUGCUGUUUGCGUGUUGAGUACAUGUUCCAAUCAUAAUAUUUUAGAUAUACUGACUUAUGCCAUGAAAGUGAACCCUGCCCGCUUCCCCCUGCUCCUCUGAAAUAUAGUCAUUAUCACC